CAACAAGGAAGUGCACAUGCUUA
rnacentral:siRNA from 1 species